rnacentral:rRNA from 1 species
AUUGAACGCUGGCGGCAGGCCUAACACAUGCAAGUCGAGCGGAUGAAGGGAGCUUGCUCCUGGAUUCAGCGGCGGACGGGUGAGUAAUGCCUAGGAAUCUGCCUGGUAGUGGGGGAUAACGUCCGGAAACGGGCGCUAAUACCGCAUACGUCCUGAGGGAGAAAGUGGGGGAUCUUCGGACCUCACGCUAUCAGAUGAGCCUAGGUCGGAUUAGCUAGUUGGUGGGGUAAAGGCCUACCAAGGCGACGAUCCGUAACUGGUCUGAGAGGAUGAUCAGUCACACUGGAACUGAGACACGGUCCAGACUCCUACGGGAGGCAGCAGUGGGGAAUAUUGGACAAUGGGCGAAAGCCUGAUCCAGCCAGGCCGCGUGUGUGAAGAAGGUCUUCGGAUUGUAAAGCACUUUAAGUUGGGAGGAAGGGCAGUAAGUUAAUACCUUGCUGUUUUGACGGUACCAACAGAAUAAGCACCGGCUAACUUCGUG